rnacentral:rRNA from 1 species
AGUGAACGCUGGCGGUAGGCCUAACACAUGCAAGUCGAACGGCAGCACAGUAAGAGCUUGCUCUUACGGGUGGCGAGUGGCGGACGGGUGAGGAAUACAUCGGAAUCUACUUUUUCGUGGGGGAUAACGUAGGGAAACUUACGCUAAUACCGCAUACGACCUACGGGUGAAAGCAGGGGAUCUUCGGACCUUGCGCGAUUGAAUGAGCCGAUGUCGGAUUAGCUAGUUGGCGGGGUAAAGGCCCACCAAGGCGACGAUCCGUAGCUGGUCUGAGAGGAUGAUCAGCCACACUGGAACUGAGACACGGUCCAGACUCCUACGGGAGGCAGAAGUGGGGAAUAUUGGACAAUGGGCGCAAGCCUGAUCCAGCCAUACCGCGUGGGUGAAGAAGGCCUUCGGGUUGUAAAGCCCUUUUGUUGGGAAAGAAAAGCAGCAGGUUAAUACCCCGCUGUUCUGACGGUACCCAAAGAAAAAGCACCGGCUAACUUCGUG